rnacentral:miRNA from 1 species
UGCCUGGAUCAGAGGAGGAAA